GGAGGGAGGAGCCCGUGGGGGUGGGAACGGGAGCAGGCAGGGUGAGAUAUAACCGGGAGGAGCGGGCGAGGAGCAGCGUGAGGAUCCUCCGGUGCUCACACCCCCACCGAGGAGCUGCUUCUUCCCAGCCUUGCCCGAGCAAAAAUUGUUGCUGUGACUCUUGCUACACAUUAACUGGGAGAAAAAUAAAAGAGUGAACCUUGAAAAAAGGAAACAGGAGACAAGAAAGAAGGACAUGGCUCAAUUUCUUUUUGGAAAGGCGGCUGUAAGCUUUCUGGCUGCAAGUGCUGUAGAAAUGGCAUUCAACGCAUUAAAAAGGAGAAAGAAGGAGCAGACCAGAAAAGCUGUGGAAUGUAAGAUAGAUGAAGCCUUCCAGAAGCUUGAGUUAAAAAUAAAGGCCUUGCAGGAAUCUUUCACAAAAUUGCGGGAGUCCAGACAGUGUGAGCUGCAUGACCUCAGAGCAAACCUGGAGAAACAAGGUGAGCAGGGCCAUUGCCAAGCAGGCUUUCAUCCAUCUGAAGACAGCAGCUGCUGUGCAGGCCAACUGGGCUGUGAGCUCACCCUGCU